rnacentral:rRNA from 1 species
UACGUAGGCAGCAAGCGUUGUUCGGAGUUACUGGGCGUAAAGGGUGCGUAGGCGGCCCUGUAAGUAUGGUGUGAAAUCUCCCGGCUUAACUGGGAGGGUGCGCUAUAGACUGCGGGGCUCGAGUGUGGGAGAGGAAAGUGGAAUUCCUGGUGUAGCGGUGAAAUGCGCAGAUAUCAGGAGGAACACCGGUGGCGAAGGCGGGUCUCUGGGCCGAUACUGACGCUGAGGAGCGAAAGCGUGGGGAGCGAACAGG